UUGGGACAUGACUAAACCUAAAGGCGCAAUGAAAGUGAAAGUUCGCCUUGCGCGGACUUAGGGAGGAUGGGCGGUCGUUACGGCUGCCGCCCCGCACUCCCGGGGCGUCUCGUUCUCAUUGCGAGAAGAGGCGCACCAAGAGCGUACACGCUGGGACCCGAAAGAUGGUGAACUAUGCCUGGUCAGGACGAAGUCAGGGGAAACCCUGAUGGAGGUCCGUAGCGAUUCUGACGUGCAAAUCGAUCGUCGGAACUGGGUAUAGGGGCGAAAGACUAAUCGAACCAUCUAGUAGCUGGUUCCCUCCGAAGUUUCCCUCAGGAUAGCUGGCGCUCGUUGCGUACGAGUUUCAUCCGGUAAAGCGAAUGAUUAGAGGCAUUGGGGUCGAAACGGCCUCAACCUAUUCUCAAACUUUAAAUGGGUGAGAUCUCCGGCUUGCUCGAACUCAUUUUUAAAAUGAAGCCGCGAGACUCGAAUCAGAGUGCCAAGUGGGCCAUUUUUGGUAAGCAGAACUGGCGCUGUGGGAUGAACCAAACGCCGAGUUAAAGCGCCUAAAUCGACGCUUAUGGGAUACCAUGAAAGGCGUUGGUAACUUAAGACAUCAGGACGGUGGCCAUGGAAGUCGGA
rnacentral:rRNA from 1 species